CCUCCCGCCCCGUCUACACCUGUCAUGAACGAAUCUGGGAAAGGAAGCACGGGGGGAAUGCAAGCAAGCUGGAGAACUGUCGAAACAGCCCUAGAGAGCCCUUAACGACAAGCUUCAUCUUCGACACGCGGUAAAUGCAUUGACGUGAAGAGGAAACGCGGCGACACUUAAUGAAAACAGAGGCGAGGUAGACCGUUUAUGCAUGACCUUCAACGACUUGCUCAAAUCAAUUGCACACCUGCGAUAUAGGGAAAAUCAGAAGCUACAAUUUUCCAUCCUAAGAAUGUGAAUAGUAUCAUUUGGGACGAUCCAGCAGGUGGAUGAAUUAGACAUUUCACACCAGGGACUAAGGGGCGGCCAAUCACAGGCACCAACGAGGAAGUCAUUUUGACUUGGAUGGAGCAAUAUGCCACCCCAUCGGGCCUUUUAAGUGCUUGAGAUAUACGACUUUAUAUCAGAGAAGGGAUAUUAGAUGGAGAUUAGAUUCGAUACAAAUCUGCCCUUUAAAGAACCAUGAAGAUGGCAGUAAACAAGCAUUUCCCCUUCCUGCUGGCCUCUGGUGGAUGAGAGAUUAGGGAGAAAGAUGUUGAGAUGCUGUCGAUGGGGAGAGAAAUGAAAAGUAAUGUGAAAGUCGGCCCGGGCAGGAAAUGAAUGAGCGGCAACAGGAAGUCAUUGAUGGGAGAGGAAAAAAGGGGCAUCCAUAAAACGGUAAACAGCGAAAUGACGGAGUGAGAGAGAGAGCGUUAAAGAUGAAAGACAGAUGAAUGGAUGGAGAGUGGGAAGGGAAGAUCAGAAGUGUUCGUCCUGCCAGCACGCAGUGCUAAGCAGAUGAAGAUAAAUUAGUUGUGUGGAUGUGAAUGCGGGCAACAGUAGAGUCAUUUCAUUCUAAUUAGCGCUCUCUUACCGCUAGCACUGCUGUGAACGCUCAGUCCUGCCAUCAUUCUCCAUCCAUAUGCUGCUUCUCUGCUGUUAUUGGCCCAGUGUGGUGCGAGGCACAUGAACACAGUGUGAUGAAGACCUGACCCUGUUCUUACAUAACCAGACUUUUGAGUAUUGUUAAAAACAAAACAAAAAUGGUCCAAAGUAUAUUAUCAUUUAUUAUAAAUACAUUAUUAAUUAUUUAAGAAACAUAAUGGAGCUCCAAACUGUUGGAUAAUUUAUAAUAUAAUGGAUUCAUAAUGGAUAAUUUUCACAAAUUGAUUGUGAACCAUGUAUUUACACUGUAAGAGACACAAUGUUUAUGUGUAUAUAAUAUAACGUAAAAUAUAAAAGUGUGCAUAAGGUGAAAUAAAAAAAAAAACACACAAAGCA
ensembl:lncRNA